rnacentral:rRNA from 2 species
GAUCCCGCGGCGUAUUAGUUAGUUGGUGAGGUAAAGGCCCACCAAGACGAUGAUACGUAGCCGACCUGAGAGGGUAAUCGGCCACAUUGGGACUGAGACACGGCCCAAACUCCUACGGGAGGCAGCAGUAGGGAAUCUUCCACAAUGGACGAAAGUCUGAUGGAGCAAUGCCGCGUGAGUGAAGAAGGGUUUCGGCUCGUAAAACUCUGUUGUUAAAGAAGAACAACUUUGAGAGUAACUGUUCAAGGGUUGACGGUAUUUAACCAGAAAGCCACGGCUAACUACGUGCCAGCAGCCGCGGUAAUACGUAGGUGGCAAGCGUUGUCCGGAUUUAUUGGGCGUAAAGCGAGCGCAGGCGGUUUUUUAAGUCUGAUGUGAAAGCCUUCGGCUUAACCGGAGAAGUGCAUCGGAAACUGGGAGACUUGAGUGCAGAAGAGGACAGUGGAACUCCAUGUGUAGCGGUGGAAUGCGUAGAUAUAUGGAAGAACACCAGUGGCGAAGGCGGCUGUCUAGUCUGUAACUGACGCUGAGGCUCGAAAGCAUGGGUAGCGAACAGGAUUAGAUACCCUGGUAGUCCAUGCCGUAAACGAUGAGUGCUAAGUGUUGGAGGGUUUCCGCCCUUCAGUGCUGCAGCUAACGCAUUAAGCACUCCGCCUGGGGAGUACGACCGCAAGGUUGAAACUCAAAGGAAUUGACGGGGGCCCGCACAAGCGGUGGAGCAUGUGGUUUUAAUUCGAAGCUACGCGGAAGAACCUUACCAGGGUCUUGGACAUCUUCUGCCAAUCUUAGAGAUAAGACGUUCCCUUCGGGGACAGAAUUGACAGGUGGGUGCAUGGUUGUCGUCAGCUCGUGUCGUGAGAUGUUGGGUUAAGUCCCGCAACGAGCGCAACCCUUAUUAUCAGUUGCCAGCAUUCAGUUGGCACUCUGGUGAGACUGCCGGUGACAAACCGGAGGAAGGUGGGGAUGACGUCAAAUCAUCAUGCCCCUUAUGACCUGGGCUACACACGUGCUACAAUGGACGGUACAACGAGUCGCGAAGUCGUGAGGCCUAGGCCUAAUCUCUUAAAGCCGUUCUCAGUCCGGAAUUGUAGGCUGUCAACUCGCCUACAUGAAGUUGGAAUCGCUAGUAAUCGCGGAUCAGCAUGCCGCGGUGAAUACGUUCCCUGGGCCUUGUACACCCCGCCCGUC